rnacentral:lncRNA from 1 species
AGUAAAUCUUGCUGUUGCUCACUCUUUGGGUCCGCACUGCCUGUAUGAGCUGUAACAGUCGCUGUGAAGGUCUGCAGCUUCACUCCUGAAGCCAGCAAAACCAUGAACCCAGCAGAAGGAAGAAACUCUGAACAUGUCUGAACAUCAGAAGGAACAAACUCCGGACACAUCAUCUUCAAGAACUGUAACACUCACCACGAGGGUCCGCGGCUUCAUUCUUGAAGUUAGUGAGACCAGGAACCCACCAAUUCUGGACAUACUAGCAUCAUGCUCUUGUACAGCCUGCAGAACUACACAUCUGCUUCUGACUUCUUCUGCCUCCCUCUUGAACAUGUAAAGACAUUUGUGAUGAAAAUGGGCCUACACAGAUAUGGGGGUCUCACUUUGUUGCCUAGGCUGGAGUGUAAUGGUGAUUCUGACAAAUGAUCAUAGCACGCUACAACCUCUACAUCCUGGGCUCAAGAGCUUCUCCUGCCUCAGCGUCCCAAGUAACUGGGACUACAGAUUUCAGUUUAGGUUUAUCCGUGGAAAGAUGGAGGAAUGAGAGCUAGAGAACAAGAGAGCAAGUGAGAGUAAUGGAAAGUCCAAAGGAAAAAGAUGGACAAGACGAAUGAAGGGAAACAAGAAGGAAAAGAGAGAGGCAGAGGGAGAGGGAGACUUAUUUGAGGAUUUAUUUUUUAAUCAGUAGUUGAUGUUGAUUUUUUCAAAUAAUUCUUAAGUCUUUAGCUUUUUGUGUUAUUAAAAUUUUAAAAUAUAGAAAAAUUUAAUCUAUUACUAUGGUCUCAAUCGAUUUUCUAAUAAUUGUCUUUCGUACAUUUGCAUGUCCCAUGAUUUUUUACAAGUCAAAUCCCAUGACAUCUGUCUGAGGUGGGGCAAAGUAAAAGUAUUACGAAGGUUGCUAUUAUAAACUGUUCUGUAGAUGAUAACAUCUUUGCUGAGCUAUAAAAGCACACUCAUGGGGUAAGAGGAGACAGAAGACAGUGUGAUUUAAACAGCUAAUUACUGGAAAUAGUGAGAUAUCAUAUCAGAUAAAUAAGGUGAUCAUAAAUGGAUGUCGAUCCCAGAGUGUGAUGCAAUUAUGCUCUUUCCUGCCAUCACCUCAGCACAAGAGAAUAAAACUCUUAGUUUUAUCUCUUAGACAUGAUUUGUACUAAUAGCUGAUAGGAGAAACCCCCAAAUUAGUUUUCUCUUGAAUAUAUUUGGAUUUCUGCUGAUCUUUAAGCUCUGAGGACUCCUUAAAAUCUGGAAAAGAAGUGACACACCUUUAUAAGUAGUGAACAUUCUACCAAAUGAUAUUUAUGUAAGUGAUCUAUUGCUGCAUAAUAUAGUAGAACAAACUCAGCAGCUAAAAACCAGCACACAUGAUUCUCUCAUAGCUUCUCUGCAUCAGAAAUCCAGUUAUGGCUUAACUGUAUCCUCUGCUUCAGGGUCUAUCACAAGGCUAUCAUGAGGAGAUAGAACAGUACUGGGUUUUUAUGCGAAAUUAGACUUGAGAGACUCUUACCCCUUCCAAACUAACAUGGUUGUUGGCAGGAUUUAAUUCCUGGCAGCUGGUAGGAUUGAGAGACUUGGUUUCCUGCCAGCUGUUGGCUGAAGGCCUGAGUUCUUUGUCAUUUGGACCCCUCGAAUAUAGCCCCUAGCUUCAUCAAAGUGUGCAAGCAAAGGGAGUGGCCACAGCAGAGACGGAGUUAAUUAGUAAGAUAGAAGGUAAAAUUGUAUAUCAUGUUAUCAUGGAAGUAACGUUCUAUCAAUCACUGUGCCACAUUCUGUUGGCUAAAAGCAAAUUACAACUUCCUGUUUCAGCUCCAGCAUGUAAAGAGCUUUGAAGUGAUGGCUUGGUUCUUACACAAAGAUACAAGAAAAAUAAACCAAAAUUUGACAACUAUUUUUGUAUCUGUCAGAGAAAUGAAAUUCAGAGAGGUGAAAAUGUGAUGAGACGGCAGAAAGAUUUCACUAAGUAUAAAUUUCCACAUAGUGUUAAAACUUUGAACCCAGUAAAUAUUAGUACAAUAAAAAUAAAAUAAUUAUAGAGCCUGAAAUAAAUAUAUGCUAAAAUUAAAUAAUAGAAAAUCAAACCAUAGACUAAUAUCGAAUUGGUGACUUUUCUCCAUGAAGAAAUAACGUUAACAACUUUGGAAUACAGUAUACUGAAACUGACUGGGUGCCUUGCAGAGAUAUAGUCUCAAGAACAAGGGAAUCUUGUAAUUUAAAUAGAUACUUUUAAUUCUGUUUGUUUCCAAAACCACAAGCUGGACUCUCCUCUUUUAAGAGGGUCUUUAUUAAGUCAUUUGGGUUCUGACACUGUGUUCUGGACCAUGUUUCUGGUGUAAGUCUUCCACGUCUUGCUUAUAUGCUGACAUCUCAGGUCAGACUUCCCCUGCAGGGAAUCACCGUCUUCACUCUGCUUGAGUUGCAACACCUUGUGCAGGUUUACCUUCUUGCAGAUAUGACCAUUUUUCCUCUGUGGUGCAUGAGCCACUCUACAUUUUCUCCUUAAGUUCACAUGGACUAGCAAUGAACAGAACCUUAAGAACUUUCCUAAAUAUACAUUAUCAGAAUUGUGAAGAGCCCAGGCCUAAACAAUUAGCCAUCUUAGAAGAUCAAUUACCAUAAAAAAUGAUAAAAAGCCUAAAUAUUAUAAUAUUAUAAUUAUUAUAAAAUCAUAAAGGACAGGAAACAAACAUGCUUGUGUAAUGUUAACUUUGAUUCCCCAAACUUUUAAAAUUUACUUUAAUUCUUUUUUAGUGAAUAACAAAAAGAUGUAUUCAGACUGGUAGUAAAUGUGUAUGCAGCUGUGCACUUGCUCUCUUUCUCUCUCCCUAUAUGUAUGCAUAUAUAUUAUUCAAAUGACCAACACUAAGCAUAAAAUCAUUGUAAAGUAACAUUUGCUAAAUGAGAGUGCAUCAAAUUAAAAAUAAGCAUGUUUAUUAAGAGAUGUUUUAUAUCCAAUCCUAAAAAAAUUGGGAUUCAUUUGGUUCUUCUGUAAGUUUUGUUAAAAAAAAUAUGUA